AGUGAACGCUGGCGGUAGGCCUAACACAUGCAAGUCGAACGGCAGCACAGUAAGAGCUUGCUCUUCCGGGUGGCGAGUGGCGGACGGGUGAGGAAUACAUCGGAAUCUACUUUUUCGUGGGGGAUAACGUAGGGAAACUUACGCUAAUACCGCAUACGACCUACGGGUGAAAGCAGGGGAUCUUCGGACCUUGCGCGAUUGAAUGAGCCGAUGUCGGAUUGGCUAGUUGGCGGGGUAAAGGCCCAGCAAGGCGACGAUCCGUAGCUGGACUGAGAGGAUGAUCAGCCGCACGGGAGCUGAGACACGGUCCAGACUCCUACGGGAGGCAGCAGUGGGGAAUAGUGGACAGUGGGCGCAAGCCUGGUCCAGCCAUACCGCGUGGGUGAAGAAGGCCUUGGGGUUGUAAAGCCCUUUUGUUGGGAAAGAAAAGCAGCAGGUUAAUACCCCGCUGUUCUGACGGUACCCAAAGAAUAAGCACCGGCUAACUUCGUG
rnacentral:rRNA from 1 species